GACGAACGCUGGCGGCGUGCCUAAUACAUGCAAGUCGAACGCUUCUUUCCUCCCGAGUGCUUGCACUCAAUUGGAAAGAGGAGUGGCGGACGGGUGAGUAACACGUGGGUAACCUACCCAUCAGAGGGGGAUAACACUUGGAAACAGGUGCUAAUACCGCAUAACAGUUUAUGCCGCAUGGCAUAAGAGUGAAAGGCGCUUUCGGGUGUCGCUGAUGGAUGGACCCGCGGUGCAUUAGCUAGUUGGUGAGGUAACGGCUCACCAAGGCCACGAUGCAUAGCCGACCUGAGAGGGUGAUCGGCCACACUGGGACUGAGACACGGCCCAGACUCCUACGGGAGGCAGCAGUAGGGAAUCUUCGGCAAUGGACGAAAGUCUGACCGAGCAACGCCGCGUGAGUGAAGAAGGUGUUCGGAUCGUAAAACUCUGUUGUUAGAGAAGAACAAGGACGUUAGUAACUGGACGUCCCCUGACGGUAUCUAACCAGAAAGCCACGGCUAACUACGUG
rnacentral:rRNA from 1 species